GUUGGGUAGGGGAGCGUUCUGUAAGCCUGUGAAGGUGUGUCGUGAGGCAUGCUGGAGGUAUCAGAAGUGCGAAUGCUGACAUAAGUAACGAUAAAGCGGGUGAAAAGCCCGCUCGCCGGAAGACCAAGGGUUCCUGUCCAACGUUAAUCGGGGCAGGGUGAGUCGACCCCUAAGGCGAGGCCGAAAGGCGUAGUCGAUGGGAAACGGGUUAAUAUUCCCGUACUUGGUGUUACUGCGAAGGGGGGACGGAGAAGGCUAUGUUGGCCGGGCGACGGUUGUCCCGGUUUAAGCGUGUAGGUGUGUGUUCCAGGUAAAUCCGGUUCACUUUAACACUGAGGCGUGACGACGAGGCACUACGGUGCUGAAGCAACAAAUGCCCUGCUUCCAGGAAAAGCCUCUAAGCAUCAGGUAACAUCAAAUCGUACCCCAAACCGACACAGGUGGUCAGGUAGAGAAUACCAAGGCGCUUGAGAGAACUCGGGUGAAGGAACUAGGCAAAAUGGUGCCGUAACUUCGGGAGAAGGCACGCUGACACGUAGGUGAAGUGAUUUACUCAUGGAGCUGAAGUCAGUCGAAGAUACCAGCUGGCUGCAACUGUUUAUUAAAAACACAGCACUGUGCAAACACGAAAGUGGACGUAUACGGUGUGACGCCUGCCCGGUGCCGGAAGGUUAAUUGAUGGGGUCAGCGCAAGCGAAGCUCCUGAUCGAAGCCCCGGUAAACGGCGGCCGUAACUAUAACGGUCCUAAGGUAGCGAAAUUCCUUGUCGGGUAAGUUCCGACCUGCACGAAUGGCGUAAUGAUGGCCAGGCUGUCUCCACCCGAGACUCAGUGAAAUUGAACUCGCUGUGAAGAUGCAGUGUACCCGCGGCAAGACGGAAAGACCCCGUGAACCUUUACUAUAGCUUGACACUGAACAUUGAGCCUUGAUGUGUAGGAUAGGUGGGAGGCUUUGAAGUGUGGACGCCAGUCUGCAUGGAGCCGACCUUGAAAUACCACCCUUUAAUGUUUGAUGUUCUAACGUGGACCCGUGAUCCGGGUUGCGGACAGUGUCUGGUGGGUAGUUUGACUGGGGCGGUCUCCUCCUAAAGAGUAACGGAGGAGCACGAAGGUUGGCUAAUCCUGGUCGGACAUCAGGAGGUUAGUGCAAUGGCAUAAGCCAGCUUGACUGCGAGCGUGACGGCGCGAGCAGGUGCGAAAGCAGGUCAUAGUGAUCCGGUGGUUCUGAAUGGAAGGGCCAUCGCUCAACGGAUAAAAGGUACUCCGGGGAUAACAGGCUGAUACCGCCCAAGAGUUCAUAUCGACGGCGGUGUUUGGCACCUCGAUGUCG
rnacentral:rRNA from 1 species